AAGUAGCACAGCAAAAGAAAAGGAAUUUUCAGUUUAACUAGAGCACGACAUUCUGUUACACAAUUCGAUCUUGUCUAUUUAUCAGCUCUUAAAAACCAGAAGACACUAAACAACAACAACAACAACAAAAGGGGGGGGGGCCCCCCAAGCAAGCUGAAUGCAUCCAGCCAGCAGUGCCAUAGGUGUCUGAAUGCAUCUGUGGCUUCCCUCUCACUCAUCAGUGUAAUUGUUGUCAUGUUAUUCCAUUUUUUGAUUAGGCUGGUCCGCCAAGCUCCCAGCUUUUCCUGGCCAAACGUUCUUCUGCUGGUUGUCAUGGUGACUGCAUUGUUCCCGGGGAGAAAGGCUCUGUUGUCUGGCAUUGUUCUGUUGUGCUUUAGGUAAUGCACGAGGCAUCACAAGUGAAGUGGAUGGACCUUUUUUGCUCGGCAUCAUUGCCGAGUAUUGAAAAUCUCACAUAAAAAAGGAGCAAAUAGGCCCUGACCAAAGAAAUAACCAAGUUCUUUUUUUUUUCUCCCCUUUUUUUUUUUUUUUUUUAAAGAAAGCACGCAUUAUUAUAAAGAGCAGGACUUGCUAGGUCAAGCCACAGUGACACAGCUACUGCAGCUCUGCAGUUGCCAGACCAGGAUUGUCUCACACCUCUUUGACUUGAAGUGCACAAAAAGCGAUGUGUAACUCUUUACACCUUCCAGGCAGAAAACACACAGCAUCCUGAGCCCAUAGUCCUACAUGGCUCGUGCUCCCUGCAAACAUAACA